CAUCCUCAGUUCGGACUGGGGUCUGCAACCCGACCCCACGAAGCUGGAUUCGCUAGUAAUCGCGCACCAGCCAUGGCGCGGUGAAUACGUUCCCGGGCCUUGUACACACCGCCCGUCAAGCCAUGAAAGCCCGGGGGGCGCCUGAAGUCCGUGACCGCGAGGGUCGGCCUAGGGUGAAACCGGUGAUUGGGGCUAAGUCGUAACAAGGUAAC
rnacentral:rRNA from 1 species